rnacentral:rRNA from 1 species
CUUAGCGGCGAAUGGGUGAGUAACACGUACUUAACGUGCCCUCUAGAUUGGAAUAACGCUGAGAAAUUAGCGCUAAUGCCGGAUACUUAUUAGUUUCGCAUGAAAUUAAUAUAAAAGGAGCGUUUGCUUCACUAGAGGAUCGGGGUGCGUAACAUUAGCUAGUUGGUAAGGUAAUGGCUUACCAAGGCGAUGAUGUUUAGCGGGGUUGAGAGACUGAUCCGCCACACUGGGACUGAGAUACGGCCCAGACUCCUACGGGAGGCAGCAGUAGGGAAUUUUCCACAAUGGACGAAAGUCUGAUGGAGCGACACAGCGUGCAGGAUGAAGGCCUUCGGGUUGUAAACUGCUGUUAUAAGGGAAGAAAAAACAGAGGAGGAAAUGCCUUUGUCUUGACGGUACCUUGUCAGAAAGCAACGGCUAACUAUGUGCCAGCAGCCGCGGUAAUACAUAGGUUGCAAGCGUUAUCCGGAAUUAUUGGGCGUAAAGCGUCUGUAGGUUGUGUGUUAAGUCUGACGUAAAAACUUGGGGCUCAACCCCAAAUAGCGUUGGAUACUGGCACGCUAGAAUUGUGUAGAGGUUAGCGGAAUUCCUAGUGAAGCGGUGAAAUGCGUAGAUAUUAGGAAGAACAUCAACAUGGCGAAGGCAGCUAACUGGGCACAUAUUGACACUGAGAGACGAAAGCGUGGGGAGCAAACAGGAUUAGAUACCCUGGUAGUCCACGCCGUAAACGAUGAUGAUUAGCUGAUGGGAACCAUCGGCGCAGCUAACGCAUUAAAUCAUCCGCCUGAGUAGUAUGCACGCAAGUGUGAAACUUAAAGGAAUUGACGGGGAUCCGCACAAGCGGUGGAGCAUGUGGUUUAAUUUGAAGAUACGCGUAGAACCUUACCCACUCUUGAC